ACGGAAGGCAGCAGUGGGGAAUAUUGCACAAUGGGGGAAACCCUGAUGCAGCGACGCCGCGUGAGUGAAGAAGUAUUUCGGUAUGUAAAGCUCUAUCAGCAGGGAAGAAAAUGACGGUACCUGACUAAGAAGCACCGGCUAAAUACGUGCCAGCAGCCGCGGUAAUACGUAUGGUGCAAGCGUUAUCCGGAUUUACUGGGUGUAAAGGGAGCGUAGGUGGCAAGGCAAGCCAGAAGUGAAAACCCGGGGCUCAACCGCGGGAUUGCUUUUGGAACUGUCAGGCUAGAGUGCAGGAGGGGUGAGCGGAAUUCCUAGUGUAGCGGUGAAAUGCGUAGAUAUUAGGAGGAACACCGGAGGCGAAGGCGGCUCACUGGACUGUAACUGACACUGAGGCUCGAAAGCGUGGGGAGCAAACAGGAUUAGAUACCCUGGUA
rnacentral:rRNA from 1 species